GCCCAAGACUGCUGGUAUUUAUAGCUUGUCUGUCUAACUCAGACCCACUUCUCACUCAAGAGGGAAAUUAAUCUCUCUCUCCAAAUCCCACACUAUCACUUGCCUCAUGGCUUCCUCAUUCCCCUGCUCCUCCAAUCCAGGCACCAGCAAUUUCCCAGCAGUGCCUCCCUUUCCCCACUGACAGUUGACCGUGGCUCUGAAAAUUGGCUCUUGGAAUCAGCUGUGCCUGCCCAGCUGGGCCCCAGCUCAGCAGUGCCUGGGACUUUGAUGCAGUUCAACCUGAGAGGGGGCUCUGCUUUUCUGAGAGAUAUUCAGCUCCUGCUUGUCUCACAUAUAUUUUUAGAAGCUUCAACUGGAUGCACAGUUAAAAAUGAGACUGAAGACCAAAGUAAAUAUUUGCAUAGCAGGAUCUUGGAGUGGCGGAGAAGAGAGAAGGAAGAGAGGAGUUCUGAUGGGCCUGGCUUCAGGCCUCAGCUCUGCUUCUGAGUGGCUGCACUUGCUUGGAGCAAGUCUCCUUUAGGUAUCAGUUUUCCAAUCUGUAAAUUUGGAGGAGGGACUGGCUUGCCGAUGUUUUGAAACAUUUCAGCUCCGAUGUUCUGUGAGCCUCUAUAUCAGAAGGGCCAUUAAGGGGUUCCUGAACCCUCUGAUACUACUGACAAACUGUGUAAAUUUUCUGGGAAGAGUAUUCAUAAUUUUCUACAAUUUUCAAAAAAAAAAUCAGCAUCUUCUAAAAUGUUAAGAAUCUCUGCUCUAGGUCUGUGGAUAGAGAUAAUUGAGUUUAUCACCAACUUCCUGGUAAUGUUCCUUCUUCUCAUUUUCUAACCUGUUCCCUUGUUAUAGUCUGACUCUUCUGCGAUUAGUGAGAAUCUGGCAGAGUGCAGGGGAGUAAAACCAAGCUAGACUUGAAAUGGAAUGAACAAUAUGAAGAAUCUAUCCUGAGUGCAUCUGCAUUAACUUAACUAGAAAACCUCAAAGAGUCCUGUGGCCCAAGUCUGCUGCAGCGGUCAAAGAACAGUGCAGCAAAGAAGAUCCCUAGGAGGCCAGGAUUAUCUCAGGAUUUCAUGAAGAGGAGAAAUGGAGGUCAUUUCCUAGAGAUUAAUGGAUAAUUUGAUUGUGAGAAGAAAAUUGUUUAAGGAGCAGGGGUGGGUAUGGAGGCAAAUGUCACACACUCCAGAAGGUAAAGUGACCUGGCUCUUCCCCUCUCACUCCUUGGAAAGAAGGAAAGCUCAUCAGAGCCAGGACCCUGGAAAAGUGAUGUGAUGAAGAGAAGGAGGCCCUGAAUACCACCAUCUGAAGGCAUUUCCAAGGAAGCCAGGGAUGUGACUCUGUCUCGGUUGCAGAGAUCAAAAGGUUUUGUGAAGGAAGCAAUGGCUCUCUAGCCCCCUUCUGGGUGGAUUCUGGGGUAGAAGGAUCCGGUUCCUUUGAUAACUGGUUAGUUAUAGCUAUAGGGUGAAGCCAAUUGAGUAACAUUGGUCUGGGCUUCCAGAGACACAAGGUCUUCUUGAACCAUAAGCUCUCAGAACAAUGCCCCACCUAGGCAGAGCAGAGAACCCUGAACCUUUUGCCUGGAGAGAACAAAGAAGCGCACAGCUCAGGAGCCACCAGACCUGGGACUACCCAUUGGACCCCUAAUCUCCACUGUUCUUGGCCUGUCUCUCUUUCCCAUUAGAUUGUGAGCUCUUUGAGAACAGAGACUACCUCUUCUCCAUCCUUGUUUCCCUAGCCUAGUACACCAUCAAAUAAUGCUGUGGAAAGAAAAAGUAAAGGAAUAAAUAAAUAACCCUUAGAUAAGUGGGUCAUCCACCAAUCCUCAAUUCCUGAUUAGUAAAAUGAGAAUAACAAUAGCUACUAACAAGAGUAU
ensembl:lncRNA novel transcript, antisense to AGBL4